GUCCACGCCCUAAACGAUGUCUACUAGUUGUCGGGUUUAAUUAACUUGGUAACGCAGCUAACGCGUGAAGUAGACCGCCUGGGGAGUACGGUCGCAAGAUUAAAACUCAAAGGAAUUGACGGGACCCGCACAAGCGGUGGAUGAUGUGGAUUAAUUCGAUGCAACGCGAAAACCUUACCUACCCUUGACAUGUACGGAACCUUUGAGAGAUCAGAGGGUGCUCGAAAAGAGAACCGUAACACAGGUGCUGCAUGGCUGUCGU
rnacentral:rRNA from 1 species